CAACUACUCCCUCCGUUCGGAAUUACUUGUCGCAGAAAUAAAUGUAUCUAGACGUAUUUUAGUUUUUAGAUACAUUCAUUUCCGAGACAAGUAAUUCCGAACGGAGGGAGUACAAG
rnacentral:pre_miRNA from 1 species